CCUGGAUGUGGACCUCCGAUCGCUGGUGCAGUGGGAGGAGUCUUGUCUCUGGUUGCUCUUGUUGCUGUAGCUGUGGGUCUGAUCUUGUAUCUUAGACGCAGACGUGGAGCCAAAAGCAUCAACGGUUUAUCUCUGGCUGUUUACACCACUACACCAGGACAUGAUGCUGACGACGAACUAUUCAGAGGCAGCAACCUGUCCAUGGAGAUACGAAAAGAUUUUUAGCGGCUCUGGCGUCUCUUCUGAUUCUGCCAAACAAGCUCAAGCCCAGGAGCCAUCCUGAAUCUUCUUCUACAGACCAACAACAAGAACUUCCAUCAGAGAGGACUGAAAGACUUGCAGGAACAACAGAAUAAUUUGCAUUAAUGAUCAAGGAACUGACCUCCCAGCCCGUUGUUCCUUCAGUGGCUGGUUUCAGUCAUUAUGCAAAUGUC